CCUACGGGUGGCAGCAGUGAGGAAUAUUGGUCAAUGGACGGAAGUCUGAACCAGCCAUGCCGCGUGCAGGAAGACGGCUCUAUGAGUUGUAAACUGCUUUUUUACAAGGCUAAACCUGAAUACGUGUAUUCAGCUGAAAGUACUGUACGAAUAAGGAUCGGCUAACUCCGUGCCAGCAGCCGCGGUAAUACGGAGGGAGCAAGCGUUAUCCGGAUUUAUUGGGUGUAAAGGGUGCGUAGACGGAGAAGCAAGUUAGUUGUGAAAGCCCUCGGAUUAACUGAGGAACUGCAACUAAAACUACUUCCCUUGAGUACUGGAGAGGAAAGUGGAAUGCCUAGUGUAGCGGUGAAAUGCGUAGAUAUUAGGAGGAACACCAGUUGCGAAGGCGACUUUCUGGACAGUAACUGACGUUGAGGCACGAAAGUGUGGGGAGCAAACAGGAUUAGAUACCCGAGUAGUC
rnacentral:rRNA from 1 species